rnacentral:rRNA from 1 species
AUAAGGGCGUAUGGUGGAUGCCUAGGCAUGUAGAGCAGAAGAAGGACGCAGCUAACGGCGAAACGCGACGGGGAGUGGUAAGCACACAUCGAUCCGUCGGUCUCCGAAUGGGGAAACCCAGCGCGAGUAAUGUCGCGUUACCCAUGAGUGAAUACAUAGCUCAUGAGGAGAGAACCCAGGGAAUUGAAACAUCUUAGUACCUGGAGGAAAAGAAAAUAACAAUGAUUCCCUCAGUAGCGGCGAGCGAACGGGGAAGAGCCCAAACCAGCCUUAGGGCUGGGGUAGUAGGACCACGAUGUGGUACAGUAACCGAUAGAAGAAGGACAUUGAAAGGUCCGCCAAAGAGGGUGCAAGCCCCGUAAUCGAAAUUGGGAGCUGACCUAGUGGAAUCCUGAGUACGGCGAGGCACGUGGAACCUUGUCGGAAGCAUCCGGGACCAUCCGGAAAGGCUAAAUACUCCUACAUGACCGAUAGUGAACCAGUACCGUGAGGGAAAGGUGAAAAGAACCGCGGGAGCGGAGUGAAAUAGAACCUGAAACCAUAUGCUUACAAGAAGACAGAGCCCGUUAAGGGGUGAUGUCGUGCCUUUUGUAGAAUGAACCGGCGAGUUAUCUUAUCGUGCGAGGUUAAGUGGAAGACACGGAGCCGAAGCGAAAGCGAGUCUGAAUAGGGCGGCAGUACGAUGAGAUAGACCCGAAGCCGUAGUGAUCUAGCCAUGACCAGGUUGAAGUUUGGGUGAAACCAAAUGGAGGACCGAACCGACCCCCGUUGAAAAGUUGGCGGAUGAGUUGUGGCUAGCGGAGAAAUUCCAAUCGAACACGGCGAUAGCUGGUUCUCCCCGAAAUAGCUUUAGGGCUAGCGUCGAAGUAAGGGUAGUGGAGGUAGAGCACUGAAUUCAUGAUGGCGCCGUCAAGGUGUACUGAAUGAAAUCAAACUCCGAAUGCCAUUAUGUCAUCUUCGGCAGUCAGACUGUGGGUGAUAAGGUCCAUGGUCAAAAGGGAAACAGCCCAGAUCAUCAGUUAAGGUCCCAAAAUUACCGCUAAGUGGAAAAGGAUGUGGGGAUGCACAGACAACUAGGAGGUUGGCUUAGAAGCAGCCACCCUUCAAAGAGUGCGUAACAGCUCACUAGUCGAGUGACCCUGCGCCGAAAAUUAACCGGGGCUAAGCGGUAUACCGAAACUAUGGCAAUGAUGUAAAUCAUUGGGUAGGGGAGCGUUCCAUGGGCGUUGAAGCUGUACCGUAAGGAGCAGUGGAGCGCAUGGAAGUGAGAAUGCCGGUGUGAGUAGCGAGAUGCAGGUGAGAAUCCUGCACACCGAUAGACCAAGGAUUCCAGGGGAAGGUUCGUCCGCCCUGGGUAAGUCGGGACCUAAGGCGAGGCUGAAAAGCGUAGUCGAUGGAAAACAGGUUGAUAUUCCUGUACCCGCGCAUCGAGUGAUGGAGUGACAAAGAAGGCUAACCGGACCGGUAAAUGGAUUCCGGACCAAGCGAGGUAGGAGGCAGUCAGGCAAAUCCGGCUGUCAAUCUGAAGGCGUGAUGGGGAGCGAACAGCGCGAGCUAAGUAGCGAAGACGGCGAUGCCAGCUUUCAAGAAAAGCUUCUAGCGCUAAUCGAUGAGCGGCCCGUACCAAAACCGACACAGGUGGUCAAGGCGAGAAGCCUAAGGUGAGCGAGAGAACUGUUGCCAAGGAACUCGGCAAAAUAGCCCCGUACGUUCGCAAGAAGGGGCGCUCGAAAGAGCCGCAGUGAAGAGGCCCAAGCAACUGUUUAACUAAAACACAGCUCUCUGCAAAGUCGCAAGACGAAGUAUAGGGGGUGACGCCUGCCCGGUGCUGGAAGGUUAAGAGGAUAUGUUAGUCGCAAGACGAAGCAUUGAAUGAAAUUCCUUGUCAGGUAAGUUCUGACCCGCACGAAAGGCGUAAUGAUUUGGGCGCUGUCUCGGCAGCAGACUCGGUGAAAUCUUAGUACCUGUGAAGAUGCAGGUUACCCGCAACUAGACGGAAAGACCCCAUGGAGCUUUACUGUAGCCUGAUAUUGAGUUUUGAUCAAGUAUGUACAGGAUAGGUGGGAGACGAAGAAGUUGGGACGUCAGUUUCAAUGGAGUCGACGUUGGGAUACCACUCUUAGUUGAUUGAAAUUCUAACCUGUAUCCAUGAGCUGGGUAAGGGACAGUGUCAGGUGGGCAGUUUGACUGGGGCGGUCGCCUCCUAAAGAGUAACGGAGGCGCCCAAAGGUACCCUCAGAUUGGUUGGAAAUCAAUCGACGAGCGCAAAUGCAGAAGGGUGCUUGACUGCAAGACAGACAAGUCGAGCAGGGACGAAAGUCGGGAUUAGUGAUCCGGCGGUGCAGAAUGGAAUGGCCGUCGCUUAACGGAUAAAAGCUACCCUGGGGAUAACAGGCUGAUCUCGCCCAAGAGUUCACAUCGACGGCGAGGUUUGGCACCUCGAUGUCGGCUCAUCGCAUCCUGGAGCUGAAUUCGGUUCCAAGGGUUGGGCUGUCCGCCCAUUAAAGCGGUACGCGAGCUGGGUUCAGAACGUCGUGAGACAGUUCGGU